ACAAGGCUGUGAGGACCAUGGCAGACCACCCAAAACACAUCAAAAUGCACCGUUUUGAUGCGUUGGAAUUUCUCCAAAAGGUGCCGUUCAAGAGUCCCCCUCUUUGUUCUACAACAACUACACCGUUUCAAGGCCUGUCUCUAAGUAUAUAAACCCACUUUUUCUGCUCUCUCCCUCAUUUCCCUUUUUUCAUUUUCUCUCUCUACUUAGGCAGCACUCUCCCCUCUCUCUAAAAACGUCUUUUUCUUUUCUCUUGAGACUCCUCCCACCGCCUCUCUCACCAACUUUCUCUCUUCACUCACUCACUCACUCACUGCCGGCGGCAAACCUUGCUCCCUAACUCUCCAUUUUUCUACUCUCUCACCAGCUUUCCGAUCUCUCUCUUUUCGCCGACCCCUCUCUCCUUCGCUGGCAGCAAACCUUUCUCUCAAACUCUCCCUUAUUUCGGUGAUUGCACCUUUCCUAUAAAACCCAAAUCGCAAAUCCCUCACUACCCACUGCCUCUAUCAUUUUUUUUUUGCUUCCUUUUUUUUAUCUAUUUUCUUUAUUUUUUUGGUUGUUGUGGGUUGUGGUUUCAGCUGCUAGAGGUUUAGGAUUUUUUGGUGGUUGUGUUGUCGGUUCUGGAAAGAUUGGUUUUUUCUUUUUUUGUUUGUUUUUUUUGGAUCGUUUUUUCUGGCUAUCAAAAAAAAUUUUUCAAAAGAACUCCUCUGCCUCCCCUUUGAACCAGAGUUUUAGGGUUUUUAUAGAACCCAACUGUCCAAGACAAUCAUGCUCUUUGCAGCAUGAAUUCCGGAUGGGUUGCCUUCAAGUCAAAAACGAAUCCACCCUAAAUGACUUCAAAUCUCGGCUGCCUCAGGAGCAUUCAAUGCUCUGUAUAUUGUUGACA
rnacentral:lncRNA from 1 species